CGGAGGGAGGGCGGAGAGGGAUGCUGGGGCUUCGUCGCCGGGGCCGGUCGUCGCCUUCGCCGCCGUGUUCGUAUGGUACGGGAGAGACAAAGACGCGCUUCGAUGGGUCGCCCCCUUCCUCUUGUUCCUAGCCUUUUUUCUUUGCGAUUCUCUUUCCUUGCCACACCGGUUACGAUUCUGUCUUACCUAGAAAUAUUCCCCAUAUAUUGCCUGCGACCGGCGGUUUGUCCCACGGGCCAUGCUAAUCCUGGUUUCCUGUCAGGUCUUGCUCCUCUUUCUCAUCUUUCUUUGAUUUUACCGCACUUGCAUCUCUAUGAUGAUUGACGUAUGUUACUUCUGGUUCGUUUGACCAUUGGUGCUUGGACAAUUUACUAGGAAAUGCAUUUUAUUUGUAGGAUUCGAUUUUUUUUAUUUUGUAGUGGCCAUGCUGUUGCAUUUAUUAUCUGUAAACGGCUGUUCCAACUUUGGUGCUUCAGUUGAUUAGGAGGUCAUCCCAUAUAGUUUAGUGGUGUUGGAGGAGCAUUUUUCUAUAUGAAACUACAUCUGUUGAUUCACAAUUACUCAGUUGAUUCUGAAUUCUACACCAGACUGGAAACUAUAAUCAUUUUUGUGCCUUUUUAAAACCAUGCUUAGACCUUGACCUGGAAGUACAAAGAUUGAACACCACGGUGAACCAUUGAGAAACAGGAACCGCCUCCGCCUACUUCUCUUCCUCUCUGGUUUGCCAUGUUGCUUCGCCCAGCUCUGACAGACUCCCUCUGUUGUGCUCUGGAAGACUGGAAGCAUGAAACUGGGGGCGGUCUGUACUUUGGUGCCAGAUGCCACCAACGCUAAUUUGAUCUGGUUGAUGUUUUGGAUUUGGUAUAUUUCUUGUUCUUGCUCGCAGGUUGUAUAGACCGGGAGCCCCUCGCCACCCCUCAUUGCUCCUGUCGGCACAUACAUGGGAGGAGACGAAGGAAGAACUGGUGAGAUGAUCUCAUAUGGCAGGCCUAAGGUCAUGGGCUUUCUAUCUCUGCUUUGGGAGUUUUUGAUUUUUAGUGAGAUUCUUGGGUACACGCAACUGAUGGCACCGGGCUAAGAACAGUAUGGUGAUUUCAUAUGCCCACAUGGUGUUCACUGAAAUGCCUGCAAUAUUGAGUGAGUUCCUCCGCCAAUGAUUACUUAAGCAUGUCGAUUGUGAUCUCCUUCCAUGUGGCAGUAGCUCAGGGGUGGCUGCAUAUGUGCAUCUUUACUUUCUUUUUGGGGCACGCAUGAUGAAUUUGAUAUGUAGUUGUUCUUUUUUAGGCCAAUGAAGAAUGCACUAUGUCAUCUUUCAGGUUUCCUGGGUAGGUAAAGAUCAUCGAGUGUAAAUGGCGUAGUACAAAUUAUGUGGGCCUAUGUUUUUGUCUGAUGGUCGUCAGCCUACCAUGUGUACAUUUAAAUUACUCACAUAACUUAUAUGUAGAUACUGACCCUUUCAUCAGUGAUUUGUGCGGUUAUUUGAUUUACCUAUUUA